rnacentral:snoRNA from 1 species
CCUGCAUGAUGACAAGCCAAUGCUGACUAACAUGAAGGUCGUCUUAUUAGCUCUAUCUGAUAU